rnacentral:rRNA from 1 species
AUGGGAACGCGAAGAACCUUACCUAGACUUGACAUCUCCUGAAUAGUGUAGAGAUACAUGAAGCCCUUCGGGGCAGGAAGACAGGUGGUGCAUGGUUGUCGUCAGCUCGUGUCGUGAGAUGUUGGGUUAAGUCCCGCAACGAGCGCAACCCUUACUUACUAGUUGCUACCAUUAAGUUGAGCACUCUAGUGAGACUGCCCGGGUUAACCGGGAGGAAGGCGGGGAUGACGUCAAAUCAUCAUGCCCCUUACUGUCUAGGGCAACACACGUGCUACAAUGGUGAGUACAGAUAGAUGCGAUACCGCGAGGUGGAGCAAAACUUCAAAACUCAUCUCAGUUCGGAUUGUAGGCUGAAACUCGCCUACAUGAAGUUGGAGUUGCUAGUAAUCGCGAAUCAGAAUGUCGCGGUGAAUACGUUCCCGGGUCUUGUACACACCG